CUUGCCGAUCCUCCCAGCUGAAUAAAGCCCUUCCUUCUACAACUUGGUGUCUGAGAGGUUUUGUCUGCGGCUCGUCCUUCUACAUUUCUUGGUCCCCUGACCGGGAAUCGAGGUAACUGAGGGAUGGCCGAGGUAGCCCCUUAGGCAGCUUAGGCCUGCCCUGUGGAGCAUCCCUGCAGGGGACUCUGGCCAGCCUGAGUGACGUGAUCCAAAGAGCACUCCUGGGUAGAAAAUUGCCUGGGUGGAACGCCUCACCAGAACAGCACGUAGCAGGCCCCUGUGGAGGAUUAACACAGUGGCUGAACACCGGGAAGGAACUGGCACUUGGAGUCCGGACAUCUGAAACUUGAAUUGACAAGCCGACAUCAGUCUCCAGAGUGAAUCCAAGGAGUGGACCCAAGACAUUUGUGUUCUGUGAUGUGGUGGCAUGUUACCUGUCAUCUCCGAUGCAUAACUCCUAAAGUGCGUCUGGGGCAGUUGUACAGAUUGCAGAGGAUAAUACUCAAGAUGUUCUCCAAGGCCAACUAGUCAUCAGUUUAUUCAUGUUUCUGGGAUUGGAUUCAUGAACUCAUCCUUUGAACUAUUUCAACAAGCUUUUUCAUGUAACUAAUCUGCGGAAGGUAGAAAGGGGAAAACUGUUGGGUGCUAAAAUGACAACUGGUUCAAGGUACAAUGGCGAAUAUUUUUAUUUCUGCAACUUUUCUUAGAGGUUGGAAACUGGACUGGGCAGGAAGAUUCCUUUUUGUAAGAUUAGUCUCCAGUUUUCAUCAAGCAGUUUAGUGGGGUAUUUUAGGCCCAGUUCCCUCUCCACAGUCCCCAAAGGUCUUCUGUUAACUUUAAAUCCGCAAAGAGAGAGAUCUCUGCCAAGCAGCAACUGCAAGAGCAUGUGGGUCAAUGUUACCAGCAGACACUCAAAGCCCAUUCCCUUUACUUCAACACCGCUUUAUAAAUUAUCUUAGAGACGUUGUCAGGUUGGUAUUAGAGGUGAGUGGUCAUGACUUCACGAUUUCUCAUCUUUCUGAAUGCAUAGUGGCUGGGAGUGGUGGCUCAUGCCUGUAAUCCCAGCAGUUUGGGAGGCCGAGGUGGGCAGAUUGUUUGACCACAGGAGU
rnacentral:lncRNA from 1 species